rnacentral:rRNA from 1 species
UACGGAGGGUGCGAGCGUUGUCCGGAAUCAUUGGGCGUAAAGGGCGCGUAGGUGGCCCGGUCAGUCAGUGGUGAAAGCGCGGGGCUCAACCCCGCGUCGGCCAUUGAUACUGCCCGCGGCUCGAGCACUGUAGAGGCAGGCGGAAUUCCGGGUGUAGCGGUGGAAUGCGUAGAGAUCCGGAAGAACACCGGUGGCGAAGGCGGCCUGCUGGGCCAGUUUAGCUGGCACUGAGGCGCGACAGCGUGGGGGAGC